rnacentral:lncRNA from 1 species
GGCUUAAUACCCUAAUACAUUAGGGCCCAACUUGCCUCGACCUGAGCCCGUAGGCCCAAACCCAACUCAAAUCUUACCUAACAAGAAGGGUUUUCUGCCACAUGAGCGCAGGGUGUAGCCCAGGCCCACAGAGAUGAACCCACAUAUCUGAGCCCAACAACCCAAGCUUGAGCCCAGGCUCAAAAGCCCAAGCCCAAAUUCAAGUCAUUAGGGCAGAAUCCUCAGGCCACUGCUGCCAUACUGCCUCCGCCGCCGUUAGGCCAUCCGGAGGCCAACCUAUCCGCCACUACAUCAGAGCUAUAAUAAACAACCACCAGCGGCCUAUCAACCCCCUUGUGCUACUUCCUACACCAUUGAUUGCGAGCUUCAAACGUCGAUCAGACGGCUAGACGAUGAUCCCGACUACCUCAACCUCUACAACUCUCGCACGAGAUCUGGUACCCUGUGAUGUCUACGACCCCCGAUGAAAAGCUCCGCCGAUGCUAAAACAGAUGGCAACUGGAAGGAGAUUCCGCCGCCAUGCUAGGCUCAAGCCGACUUCGCAGCCUCCAAGAUCUACUUCGUCACCAGGUAGACCCGAUUCAAGCCUCUGCCAAACUACACCACGACGAGAACUCACCGAAUCUAGAAUGGCGGCGCCACGUUCUGCUCAAAACCCUAGAGAAUGGGUUCUGUUAGAGAGGAGAGAUCACCGUAUAAAAGAAAUAUAUACUUGGUUGUAUAAUUGAUUAGCUCUUUGCAUUAAUAUUUUGGCAUAUUAAUUAGAAUACC